rnacentral:sRNA from 1 species
GCGGCCGCGGCGGUGGCGGAGACUGUGGCUUUAAGAGCGCGCCGGGAGCCCGAGCCCCAGCCGGGCCGCGCUUCGCCGCUGCGCACCCCAGCGGAGCCAAGCCCCGCGCUGGCCGGACAGGGCCGCCUGUCGCCGGUCGUUCCAAGGAAGUCAAGGACGAGCAUACCUCUUUAACUCAGUAGUUAAUGUGGGCUGUGGGCCUGCAGAAGAGCGAGUGUUGCUAACAGGACUGCAUGCAGUCGCAGACAUUUACUGUGAAAACUGCAAAACCACUCUGGGCUGGAAAUACGAACAUGCUUUUGAAAGCAGCCAGAAAUAUAAAGAAGGCAAAUACAUCAUUGAACUAGCACACAUGAUCAAGGACAAUGGCUGGGACUGAUUGGACAGCAUCUACCCAACCCAGUGUCCAUGUGAACGCCAUUCAACUGAACAUUCUUCCCAAGCGUGAGAGAGUGACUGACACUUGGUUCCAUCCAUUUA